rnacentral:rRNA from 1 species
GACAGAGGCCUCAAGCGUUAGGCGGAAUCACUGGGCUUAAAGCGUGUGUAGGCGGAUCGUUAAGUGUCUUGUGAAAUCCCACGGCUCACCCGUGGAACUGCUGGGCAUACUGGCGAUCUUGGGCCAACUAGGGGCAACUGGAACAAGCGGUGGAGCGGUGAAAUGCGUAGAUAUCUGGAGGAACACCGGUGGCGAAGGCGACAUCCUGGACCAACACUGACGCUGAGGCACGAAAGCGUGGGUAGCAAACAGG